AUGGCUCUUCAGCUUUCUCAAUUUCGCCUCUCGAAGAAGACGUCCUCCGCGGUAGAAGCCUUUGUCGAUUUCCAAUCACCGCUGCCAUUUGACUCGUUACAAUCCUCUCUCCUCGUCUCUAGCUCGCGACACUCUCUUACUCCACCGUCUCUGACUUCGUUCCACUGUUCACCUUCUCAUCUCCAUUUUGACUUCAAUUGUUCCUCCAAUGCAUCUUUGCUCCUCAGAUUCCUCACUAUGAAACAAACACAUCAAAUCUCAUCACGCCAACCUCCGCUCAACUCUGUGAUUUUUCAUUCGCGGCUCCGCCUGUUCACUUCUCAAUCUUCUCCACUUCUUAUUCGUUACGCUUCACACCAUUGUCUCAUUUGA